CUCCUGACUGACCGAUAGUGAACCAGUACCGUGAGGGAAAGGCGAAAAGAACCCCGGCGAGGGGAGUGAAAAAGAACCUGAAACCGUGUACGUACAAGCAGUGGGAGCACGCUUAGGCGUGUGACUGCGUACCUUUUGUAUAAUGGGUCAGCGACUUAUAUUCUGUAGCAAGGUUAACCGAAUAGGGGAGCCGAAGGGAAACCGAGUCUUAACUGGGCGUUAAGUUGCAGGGUAUAGACCCGAAACCCGGUGAUCUAGCCAUGGGCAGGUUGAAGGUUGGGUAACACUAACUGGAGGACCGAACCGACUAAUGUUGAAAAAUUAGCGGAUGACUUGUGGCUGGGGGUGAAAGGCCAAUCAAACCGGGAGAUAGCUGGUUCUCCCC
rnacentral:rRNA from 1 species